GAUGAAGAACGCAGCGAAAUGCGAUAAGUAAUGUGAAUUGCAGAAUUCAGUGAAUCAUCGAAUCUUUGAACGCACAUUGCGCCCCUUGGUAUUCCGAGGGGCAUGCCUGUUCGAGCGUCAUAUUAACCACUCCCGCUUGCGGGGUCUUGGGCUUCGCCUCCGGGCGGGCCUUAAAAUCAGUGGCGGUGCCGUCGGGCUCUACGCGUAGUAAAUUUUCUCGCGAUAGGGUCCCGGUGGAUGCUUGCCAACAACCCCCAACUUCUUAAGGUUGACCUCGGAUCAGGUAGGGAUACCCGCUGAACUUAAGCAUAUCAUAGCGGAGGA
rnacentral:misc_RNA from 1 species